rnacentral:rRNA from 1 species
AUGAACGCUAGCGACAGGCUUAACACAUGCAAGUCGAGGGGCAGCACAGGUAGCAAUACCGGGUGGCGACCGGCGCACGGGUGAGUAACGCGUAUGCAACUUACCUAUCAGAGGGGGAUAACCCGGCGAAAGUCGGACUAAUACCGCAUGAAGCAGGGGCCCCGCAUGGGGAUAUUUGCUAAAGAUUCAUCGCUGAUAGAUAGGCAUGCGUUCCAUUAGGCAGUUGGCGGGGUAACGGCCCACCAAACCGACGAUGGAUAGGGGUUCUGAGAGGAAGGUCCCCCACAUUGGUACUGAGACACGGACCAAACUCCUACGGGAGGCAGCAGUGAGGAAUAUUGGUCAAUGGCCGAGAGGCUGAACCAGCCAAGUCGCGUGAGGGAUGAAGGUUCUAUGGAUCGUAAACCUCUUUUAUAAGGGAAUAAAGUGCGGGACGUGUCCCGUUUUGUAUGUACCUUAUGAAUAAGGAUCGGCUAACUCCGUGCCAGCAGCCGCGGUAAUACGGAGGAUCCGAGCGUUAUCCGGAUUUAUUGGGUUUAAAGGGUGCGUAGGCGGCCUUUUAAGUCAGCGGUGAAAGUCUGUGGCUCAACCAUAGAAUUGCCGUUGAAACUGGGGGGCUUGAGUAUGUUUGAGGCAGGCGGAAUGCGUGGUGUAGCGGUGAAAUGCAUAGAUAUCACGCAGAACCCCGAUUGCGAAGGCAGCCUGCCAAGCCAAGACUGACGCUGAUGCACGAAAGCGUGGGGAUCAAACAGGAUUAGAUACCCUGGUAGUCCACGCAGUAAACGAUGAUCACUAGCUGUUUGCGAUACACAGUAAGCGGCACAGCGAAAGCGUUAAGUGAUCCACCUGGGGAGUACGCCGGCAACGGUGAAACUCAAAGGAAUUGACGGGGGCCCGCACAAGCGGAGGAACAUGUGGUUUAAUUCGAUGAUACGCGAGGAACCUUACCCGGGUUUGAACGCAUUCGGACCGAGGUGGAAACACCUUUUCUAGCAAUAGCCGUUUGCGAGGUGCUGCAUGGUUGUCGUCAGCUCGUGCCGUGAGGUGUCGGCUUAAGUGCCAUAACGAGCGCAACCCUUGCCACUAGUUACUAACAGGUGAUGCUGAGGACUCUGGUGGGACUGCCAGCGUAAGCUGCGAGGAAGGCGGGGAUGACGUCAAAUCAGCACGGCCCUUACAUCCGGGGCGACACACGUGUUACAAUGGCGUGGACAAAGGGAGGCCACCUGGCGACAGGGAGCGAAUCCCCAAACCACGUCUCAGUUCGGAUCGGAGUCUGCAACCCGACUCCGUGAAGCUGGAUUCGCUAGUAAUCGCGCAUCAGCCAUGGCGCGGUGAAUACGUUCCCGGGCCUUGUACACACCGCCCGUCAAGCCAUGGGAGCCGGGGGUACCUGAAGUCCGUAACCGCGAGGAUCGGCCUAGGGUAAAACUGGUGACUGGGGCU